UUCUUCCAUACAGCUGUAUUCAAGGCAAAGCACCUGGGACAUGGAUUCACCUGCAAUGGGUGUCUCAUCACAGCAAGCAGGGCACUUCGUCUGAAGCAAAGGAACAAAACCAGUUCACAAUUUCUGCGAAGGUGUCAGGAUACAAGUGCAAUCUGAACACCAUUAGUGCUGUGAAAAUGUUCCCAGAGGAAAGGAGGGGACACUGAAUGGCAGAGUGCCAUGCUGCCUUUCAGAGGGACACCGCAGCUGCCCGUGUAGAACAGCCUGGUGAUGCAUCCAGCUCAGCACAUAUCUCCCACAGUGUCCCCUGCCAUGUGCUCUGGAGGAAAGAGUAGACAUUCCCCCACAUUUCAACCUGUCAGGAAGUCAACAUUGUACUACAGAACAAGCUCUGCAUUCCUGACUGCCUCUGUCACUCAUGACGAAGAAGAGGAUUUUUGAGCCCUCUAAUGACCAGCAUAUAAAUGAUACAAAAAAAUAUCAAUCCUUCUCCUCUCUGUACUAUCCAGAUUUGUACAUUAGCACACACCUGCCUCUGAAACUUCCCAGAAUUCCUAACCAAAAGUACCAAAAUCCUCGUGCGAAGACUGCACUGUCUGUGUAACACGCUCACAUCUGCAACAGCGCGUUCUUUCUCCCGGCUCCGGGCAGCUCCGGCGCAUUUUGGCCCCGCCUCCCUCCGGAGCUCGGGCUUGCCGCUUCUCUUCCACGUGCCACUGUGGCGGCACGCCGGUCGGGGUUCUGUCGCCCGCGCGAGGGUCCAAGGCGAAAAGGGAAGCAAUUGUCCAG